rnacentral:tRNA from 1 species
GAGGGUAUAGCUCAGUGGUAGAGUGUAUGCUUAGCAUGCACAAGGUCCUGGUUCAACCCUCAGUACCCCA